rnacentral:rRNA from 1 species
UAGGGAAUCUUCGGCAAUGGACGAAAGUCUGACCGAGCAACGCCGCGUGAGUGAAGAAGGUUUUCGGAUCGUAAAACUCUGUUGUUAGAGAAGAACAAGGACGUUAGUAACUGAACGUCCCCUGACGGUAUCUAACCAGAAAGCCACGGCUAACUACGUGCCAGCAGCCGCGGUAAUACGUAGGUGGCAAGCGUUGUCCGGAUUUAUUGGGCGUAAAGCGAGCGCAGGCGGUUUCUUAAGUCUGAUGUGAAAGCCCCCGGCUCAACCGGGGAGGGUCAUUGGAAACUGGGGGACUUGAGUGCAGAAGAGGAGAGUGGAAUUCCAUGUGUAGCGGUGAAAUGCGUAGAUAUAUGGAGGAACACCAGUGGCGAAGGCGGCUCUCUGGUCUGUAACUGACGCUGAGGCUCGAAAGCGUGGAGAGCAAACAGG